ACUGCCAUAUUAAGGCCCUUGCAUAGUUCUGAAAUUCCUUGAAAUGGAGGAUGUGCAGGAAGCUUGAGGCUUGUGUGUGUUGGCGGGGUGGUUGUUGAUCCGCGGGAUCUUCUCUAGCUAUUGAUUGUGCUAUUUCAAUAUGAGGAGCUGCAUGGAAAGCCGGAUUGGGUGCGAGUGAGAGUAUGGUAUGAAACAGUGGCGGCUGGUGCUAAAAAAAAUUUUUUUGGGGGGGGGGGGCAAUUUACCUUGGCACAGCACACCUGACAGCUGUUUUAAUGUCCACACAGUCACAGAGUUAUUAAGAAGGACAAUGCGGCCUAUAGAUUUUAUCAGGGUUAGUAGACGGUGGAUGAUUGACAGUCGAAACGAGGCGUGGUGGUGGGUGCAAACAUGAUUGACAGCCACGAGAAUUGUCCAAUCACAUUAGAUCAAAAAACAUUAGAACCAAUUCGCUACCAAAAAAAGCGGGAGUGUCCAUCGAAAAUCUGAAGAAACCAGUCAGACAGCAGCCUCAGGUCACCUGCUUGAAAAAGGUUUGAGGGCUUACAUAAGGUGUGGUUUGGCCGGCGCCCCUCACCCAGGAAGUAUAUGUAUUCAGACAGGAAGUAUAUGUAUUCAGACAGGAAGUAUAUGUAUUCAGACAGAAAUCAACCAAACACCAUGUGGAACCAAUAUUCAAUGGCUGCUGACAGGCGCUCGCAGACUGAAAACACUUUUAUUUCAUCAUUAUUUGCAUUAUACAACUAAAUUAUAUUUAACAUGUUUAAGUAGAUUUUCAUCUCUUGAUAUUUGGAGGGGGCGGUGCCCCAGCACCCUGUACUGGCCAGCCGCCACUGGUAGGAAUAAGGUUUGGGUUAGGAACGGUGCUGGUGUUUUUCAAAGGGGCAUUGCCCGUCACAGAGGUUUUGCUUAACUAGACCCCACACCAUGCUCCCUCUUGAACUCUGACCUUCAGAACCUUUUCUCUACUUAUCCAUAUUCCAAUACUGAUCACUGCACACUUUGAGAUUGCUGCCACACUUAGGCCUCCACCUAGUUCACAACAUUACAGUAACGGCUUACAUCCUUGACAACAUGGUUUAAUUACACUUGAUUCAACCGGCUACGACUAAUGAUGAGUAUUUUAUGUAAGAGGCCUGUGGCAAAUCUGCACCACAGCCAGGACCUCCCUGACAAAAAAGACUCUAAAAACACCAGAAGUUAAAACCAUUUUGGCUAGCCAAUCCAGAUUUUGACGCAGGUUUCCCAUACCUCAUUUUGCUAGCUACCGGCACAGAAUCUCCCUGUGAUCCGCUGGUGGAGGCGUCGUCCCCAACCCUCCUCUCCCCGACUUCCCCGCCGGGAACAUCCCAGCUCUCUUGAUGAUGCCCCUUCCCCUAGUCCCCUCCAUGAGGCAGCUUCUUUUUUUUUAUAUAUAAAUUUAUUUGUAGUUUUUCCCCUUAUCCCACCCGAUUAACCCAAUGGCAUACGGCCGGAACUCUUGUCGAAUAACUCCCCUGGCUCACGUUUCCACAGGAAGGAGAUAGUCGUAACACCAGCUUCCUUCAAACUCGUGUCGGCGGCUCUCGCCAUCUUACACGCUGAAACCUCUCAUGGAUUGCAUUACCCUCAGGCCGCGAAGGAGGCGUAGGGAGAAUGCUUUCGGUUGCUUGGCUGCAGGCGCCCGGGUGGGCCAGAGGGGUCGCUGGAGAACGACGAGUCCCCGAACACUACACCCACUAUCCCUCGGGUAAGGGUGGCCUAAUGAAUGCCUUACCCCGUGGACGCUCUGGCCGUGACCGGUUACGGCGAGUCUGGGAUACCAACCUCCCAGCCACAUGACGAGCGGGUUGCAAGAACGGCGGGUUAUUCCGCUCGGCCAUCAGAGCGGCCCUAUGAGGCAGCUUCUUGCCUCUCAGCCUCGCAGACCGGGAGAGGCAGUUGCAUCCUCAAUUGCAGGGGGGCUGGCCGACAGACUGCAGGGUUUGCUGCUGGGCAAGACACCGAUGCUCCUGGCGGGGAUGGAGAGGGCUGGCCAACCUGGGUUGGGGAUGGGCUGUUGUCCCUCAGCAACUGGUUGUUUUUGUUUUUUUAUUUUUUUUAUUUAUUUUGAAAUACAUUAUUGAUCUCUGUGGGGAAAUUCUGCUCUGCAUUUAACCCAUCCUGGCUGUGUAGCUAGGAGCAGUGGGCAGCCACCGUGCAGCAUCUGGGGACCAACUCCAGUUUGUCUUGCCAUGCCUCAGUCAAGGGCACAGACAGGAGUAUUAACCCUCACAUGCAUGUCUUUUAUGGAGGGGGAAACCGGAGCACCCGGAGAAAACCCACCGCAGACGAGGAGAACAUGCAAACUCCACACAGAGGACGACCUGGGAGACCCUCGAGGUUGGACAACCGCGGGGUUCGAACCCAGGACCUUCUUGCUGGGAGGCGACAGCGCUAACCACUGCACCACUGUGCAGCUCUUGGAAUCCCCGUACGGGCCACCACUGUGGCAGAUCUGCACCACAGCCAGGGAACCCUGACACAGACAUGGACAAAGAUGAUCAGUCAGGGCACAACAGCCUAUUCAUAAAAAACCAGGACUCUAAAAACAUCAGGUGAAACUGUUCAAAGACUAAAAGCAAAUGCCCAUUUAAAGUCUUUUCAGUGGGCAGAGAGUCGUGUGGGUCUAUGUCCCCACAGCCUUAAGCUCUCCUCCUGGUUCUGGUGUGGCUUCAUGUGGGCUCUGUCCCGAGUAUAUUAGACUCAGUCCACACUCUACUCUGCCACAAGCACAUACAAGCAAAGAGAUGUAAUUCAUCAUGGUUGCUCGACAAAGAAACAUCCACAAUAAAUUUUCAAGAAUGGAAA